GCUUCUAUGGUCUAGUGGUUAUGACUCCGGAUUUUGAGCAUUCGCUGAGUCUUCCGGCAACCCCGGUUCGAAUCCGGGUAGGAGCU
rfam:Aspergillus fumigatus Af293 chromosome 8, whole genome shotgun sequence.